AUGACUGCGGAUGCUGCAACGCAGCAUCACUCGAUAGCCCGUGCUGCAACCGCACGAUGCCGUCGCCGGUGGGCGCUGCAAAGCAACGAAUGUAGAUGUUCUGAUCGACCACGAACUAUGGAUCGAUCAACAAACUAUCAGCUUAAAAAAAAUCGAUGUGCCAUUGGACGAACCUAUCUACGAGUCUCCCACGUCCCUGUGCAUCUUCGACGUCAAGGACACGGUAGACGAGCAAUAUCCACGUCCAGGCAACAGCCAUGCCUAUGA
rnacentral:rRNA from 1 species